GCCAGACUCCUACGGGAGGCAGCAGUGGGGGAUAUUGCACAAUGGGGGAAACCCUGAUGCAGCGACGCCGCGUGAGUGAAGAAGUAUUUCGGUAUGUAAAGCUCUAUCAGCAGGGAAGAAAAAAGACGGUACCUGACUAAGAAGCCCCGGCUAACUACGUGCCAGCAGCCGCGGUAAUACGUAGGGGGCAAGCGUUAUCCGGAUUUACUGGGUGUAAAGGGAGCGUAGACGGCAAUACAAGUCGGAAGUGAAAUACCCGGGCUCAACCUGGGAACUGCUUUGGAAACUGUAUGGCUAGAGUGCUGAAGAGGUAAGCGGAAUUCCUAGUGUAGCGGUGAAAUGCGUAGAUAUUAGGAGGAACACCGGCGGCGAAGGCGGCCUGCUGGACCGUGACUGACGUUGAGGCUCGAGAGCGUGGGGAGCAAACAGGAUUAGAUACCCUAGUACC
rnacentral:rRNA from 1 species